UCGUAUCCUGAACUGUGACCAAAAAAAAGGCUUCUAAGAGGAGCCUUUAUUAUGACAUUUCAGUCACAAGAUCUUCAUCAGACUUUACACCCAGACUGAUGCCAGAAACAUCAUAUUAAAGUUUCUUUGAAGUAAAACAUUUGUGUGACAGGUUGGAAAGCUCAAGUUAGGAACAAACUGCACAGAUUCCCACAGGGGGGGGAGGAGAAGGGAACAACAGCUUCCCCCCCUCCUGAACACAGCACACGUCUUGUUCAAGGUGAGAAAGACCUGGAUGUGGCACGAUGAUCGGCUGCCCCCUGCAGCUCAGACGGAGUUGUGCUAGCCUCGUGUCAUUCAGCCAACACUGUACAGUACUUUGUAUCCUGAAAUAGAGACAUCAGCUCUAAGUGGACUGUUUUCCCAGCUCUCCAUCGCAGAAAAUGGCACUUUAUAUUAGACUUUAUGGAUCUGAAUAAUAUAUGGCAUUCAAGCUCUCACCCAUCCAGGCUUUAGCGAAGGCACUCAUGCUAUUCCUGUGUAUCUGUACAUGCCAGCAUACAUAGAAAAUGCUGUGCAAGUGCCAUUUGUCGACAUGAGAGCUCCUUUUCUUGAGCAAACGAUGUUCUGCAGGGGGAAAAUGACAUGUAUGUUUGUUGGGGUGACGGAUAAAUAGCCACAUUUGUUAUUAUUUCAGGACAAGCUGACUUCAGUACUCUUCUUAAACUGGCUUUUAUGACACUAAUACUCUCCCUUUCCUGCAAAUCACAAAAUCACGUUAGGUAACUCCUUCAUUAUUUCUGCCACCGCUGGUGCACUUUGCCUCCUCCUCGGCUUGCACUCCAGGCUCAGAGUGAAUUGCAGAUGUAAAACGUGGGAGUGGAGACACACAAUAAUAUCCGCGGGCCAAACAGAGGGCAGCUGCCGCGGAGGAGGGCCGACCGCAGGAAAAAAUGAAUCUCCAGCUGUCGUCCUGAGCUGGAGCUGAGAGUUUAUCUGUCGAGGUUUCCAGCAAAAUGAGUCACCAUUGCCACGUUUACAGCAGGCAGAUGGACCUCGGACCAAAGCCAAUAACUCCAGUCGGGUGAAGAGACGCUGGGACGCUUCCCAGUAAUCCCCAGUCCUCCCCUGACCCCAUCAGUGGAGUACUGUAAAGUCAAAAACACUUCUACUUUUGUGUGUGUGAAAUCACUUGGUUAGGAUUUUGUCCACAUAAAAAGUUUGAAAUGUUGACAUUGUUGAGAUUUGUUUGUAUACAUCACAUGGGUCUUAUUCCUGAGGGAAGUAGGUCAUUAAAGCAGCAAAUGUAAUAUAAAAGGGGAAAAAGGGAUGUUAAUAGAGGAUAAUUUUGGAAAUAAAGGCAAAAUGAAUGCUAACAAAAAUAGUCUACAGCUAUGCUAGCCACUGUGAGGUUGUUUUUAGAAACAUUACAGUGAUUUGAGCUAAAUGCUAACAUCAGCAUGCUAACAUGCUGAUGUUUAGCAGGAAUAAUGUUCACCAUGUUUGCUAUUUUAGUUUAGCAUGCUAACAUCUGCUAAUUAGCACUAAACUCAAAGUAUGGCUGAGGCUGAUGGGAAUGUCAUGGGUUUAGCAGGAAUUUGGUCACAAACUAAACUGCAACCAACGAUUAAUUUCAUUAUCAAUUCAUGUAUCAAUUAUUUGUUCAAUUAAACGUUUAGUCUAUAAAAUCUCAGUAAAUUGUGAAAAAUGCCCAACACGUGUUCCCGAUAGUCCAAAACCCCAAAUAUAUUCAG